CGAUACGACCGUACCGCAAACCGACACUGGUGCGCGAGAUGAGUAUUCUAAGGCGCUUGAGAGAACUCAGGAGAAGGAACUCGGCAAAUUGACACCGUAACUUCGGAAGAAGGUGUGCCCUAUUAGUGUGUAGUGAACAACGAAGCAUGAAUGGGUUGCAAAAAAUCGGUGGCUGCGACUGUUUAUUAAAAACACAGCACUCUGCAAACACGAAAGUGGACGUAUAGGGUGUGACGCCUGCCCGGUGCUGGAAGAUUAAAUGAUGGGGUGCAAGCUCUUGAUUGAAGUCCCAGUAAACGGCGGCCGUAACAAUAACGGACCUAAGGUAGCGAAAUUCCUUGUCGGGUAAGUUCCGACCUGCACGAAUGGCGUAACGAUGGCCACACUGUCUCCUCCUGAGACUCAGCGAAGUUGAAAUGUUUGUGAUGAUGCAAUCUCCCCGCGGAAAGGCGGAAAGACCCCAUGAACCUUUACUGUAGCUUUGUAUUGGACUUUGAACAGAUCUGUGUAGGAUAGGUGGGAGGCUUUGAAGCAGGGUCGCUAGAUCUUGUGGAGCCAACGUUGAAAUACCACCCUGGUGUGUUUGAGGUUCUAACCUAGGUCCAUUAUCUGGAUCGGGGACAGUGCAUGGUAGGCAGUUUGACUGGGGCGGUCUCCUCCCAAAGCGUAACGGAGGAGUUCGAAGGUACGCUAGUUACGGUCGGACAUCGUGACGAUAGUGCAAUGGCAUAAGCGUGCUUAACUGCGAGACUGACAAGUCGAGCAGAUGCGAAAGCAGGACAUAGUGAUCCGGUGGUUCUGUAUGGAAGGGCCAUCGCUCAACGGAUAAAAGGUACUCUGGGGGUAACAGGCUGAUACCGCCCAAGAGUUCAUAUCGACGGCGGUGUUUGGCACCUCGAUGUCGGCUCAUCUCAUCCUGGGGCUGUAGCCGGUCCCAAGGGUAUGGCUGUUCGCCAUUUAAAGAGGUACGUGAGCUGGGUUUAAAACGUCGUGAGACAGUUUGGUCCCUAUCUUCCGUGGGCGCUGCAGAUUUGAGGAAGCCUGCUCCUAGUACGAGAGGACCGGAGUGGACACACCUCUGGUGUAUCGGUUGUCACGCCAGUGGCAUUGCCGAGUAGCUAAGUGUGGAAGAGAUAACCGCUGAAAGCAUCUAAGCGGGAAACUCGUUUCAAGAUGAGAUCUGCCGGGGCCUUGAGCCCCCUAAAGAGUCGUUCAAGACCAGGACGUUGAUAGGUCAGGUGUGGAAGCCAA
rnacentral:rRNA from 1 species